CCUACGGGAGGCAGCAGUGGGGAAUAUUGCGCAAUGGGCGAAAGCCUGAUGCAGCGACGCCGCGUGAAGGAUGAAGGUCUUCGGGUCGUAAACCUCUUUCAGCAGGGAAGAACGGUCACUGUGCUAAUCAGCAGUUAAUUGACGGUACCUGCAAAGGAAGCACCGGCUAACUCCGUGCCAGCAGCCGCGGUAAUACGGAGGGUGCGAGCGUUAAUCGGAAUUACUGGGCGUAAAGCGCUCGUAGGCGGUAUGUCAAGUCAGGGGUGAAAGCCCCGGGCUCAACGUGGGAACUGCCUUUGAAACUGGCAACCUGGAGUGUGUGAGAGGAUAGUGGAAUUCCAGGUGUAGGAGUGAAAUGCGUAGAUAUCUGGAGGAACAUCAGUGGCGAAGGCGACUAUCUGGCACAUAACUGACGCUGAGGAGCGAAAGCGUGGGUAGCAAACAGGAUUAGAUACCCCAGUAGUC
rnacentral:rRNA from 1 species